UGGGGGAUCGUCUAAUGGUAGGACAGUUGACUCUGACUCAAUAAAUCUAGGUUCGAAUCCUAGUCCCCCAACCA
rnacentral:tRNA from 1 species